CCAUCUUCAUUUUUAAAUAGCGAGCACUAGAUCCUGGAGAUCAGAUCUGUGUGCGGACAGCUUUCUUUCACUCAUCUAAUCCAGGGUGAAGGAUGUUGGGAAGGUUUUUCUUGGAUUUGUUGGGCUGACAAAGAGAGAGAGCACGCUAGUUGGCGUCCAUGAACGAGACCAUGGCCGUGCACUUGCGUGCUCUCUCUUGUUGUCAUCCACUUAGCCAUGCAAAAUGUGUGCUAAUAGAAUUUCAGCGAAAACCGUGUUUUUUACCAGGUGAUUACUACCUUCCAAGAGCACUGUGAUCCUCGUGCAUCUGCAAUGUUAUCUCAACGUAUAAUUAAUGCUGGUCAUUAAUAAUGAUAAGUAGCAGAUCAAUUCACAUGAUCCUUUUGAACGGUUUACAUUUUAGUUAUAACUUCCUUUGGGCUUUGCGUUAAGAAGUCUGUCAAAUUGAUGCAUGCAUGGCCUAUUGCAGAGCUAAAUUCUUCAAAUCCUUGCCAUUUUACUAGUUCGCAAAUAUUUUUAUUUUAGUUUUGUUUUCUAAUUUUACACUUUACUUUUGCUUAACUUGUUCAUGUGGCAUUUUUAUUUCUGAUGUUCAUCUUCUGAGCUAUUAAAAUUUAUAAUGUGUUUAUUUAUAUAACAGGAUACCAUAAGGGAUAUAUUAACAUAAGUCUUGAAAGGUUAGAAUACUAUAUAUGAAGAAUAUAUAAUUAAGGAUAUAUUCGAUUGAUGAUCAUAUAAAAUCCUUCAAACCAUGUAUUGUGUUAAUUGUGCAUGGCUUGUGUAUGCUUUUGCAUGCAUAUAUAUUUUUCAUUAUGAGGCUCUAAAUUUUACUGUUGGCCAACAUAGACUUUGUAGCAAUUGAUGUAGUUAUUGACAACUAUAGGCAAAUCCAGGUCUCACAUUCUAUGACAACUAUUUUGGUGGCAUCCAAUUAUAUUUUUGAAAGCUAAGAAAGGUUGGCUUUCCCUGAAGGCUAUCAAGUGUAAAUUU